UGGGGAAUAUUGCACAAUGGGCGAAAGCCUGAUGCAGCGACGCCGCGUGAGUGAAGAAGUAUUUCGGUAUGUAAAGCUCUAUCAGCAGGGAAGAAAAUGACGGUACCUGACUAAGAAGCCCCGGCUAACUACGUGCCAGCAGCCGCGGUAAUACGUAGGGGGCAAGCGUUAUCCGGAUUUACUGGGUGUUAAGGGAGCGUAGACGGCGAAGCAAGUCUGAAGUGAAAACCCAGGGCUCAACCCUGGGACUGCUUUGGAAACCGUUUUGCUAGGGUGUCCGAGGGGGAAGGGGAAUUCCUCGGUGAGCGGUGAAAUGCGGAGAAAUUAGGGGGAACACCAGUGGCAAAGGCGGCUUACUGGACGAUAACUGACGUUGAGGCUCGAAAGCGUGGGGAGCAAACAGG
rnacentral:rRNA from 1 species